rnacentral:rRNA from 1 species
AGUGAACGCUGGCGGCGUGCCUAAUACAUGCAAGUCGAACGGAGUGGCGCACGGGUGAGUAAUAUAUAGCUAAUCUGCCCCUUGCUGGAGGACAACAGAUAGAAAUGACUGCUAAUACUCCAUAGCAAGGGAGGAGACUAUAUCGUAUCAGCUAGUCGGUGGGGUAACGGCCUACCGAGGGUAUGACGCGUAACUGGUCUGAGAGGAUGAUCAGUCACAUUGGAACGGAGACACGGGCCAGACUCCUAGGGGAGGCAGCAGUAGCGAAUAUUGCGCAAUGGGGGAAUCCCUGACGCAGCUACGCCGCGUGGAGGAUGACACGUGUCGGAGCGUAAACUCCUUUUGUUACGGAAGCGGUACCUACCGAAUAAGCACCGGCUAACUCCGUGCCAGCCGCCGCGGUAAUUG